rnacentral:rRNA from 1 species
UACCAUAAUUACACUCGACCCCUUUAAUUGUACUGAGAACUUCUAUAAAAUUAUAGAACUUUUUAUGCUAAAACUAGUAACAAGAGGUAAAACCUCUCUAUAAUGCAAGUAUAAGCCAGCAAGAAUCCGUCACUGUCAACUAACAGACCUAAACAAAAGUAGCAACCCACCCAGAAAACCCUACCUACCUUAACUGUUAACCUAAUACUAGAGCAUUUCAAGAAAGAUUAAAAGAAAGAGAAGGAACUCGGCAAAUAUUAGCCCCGCCUGUUUACCAAAAACAUCGCCUCUUGCUAUUAUAAGAGGUCUAGCCUGCCCAGUGACUUCUGUUCAACGGCCGCGGUAUCCUAACCGUGCGAAGGUAGCGUAAUCACUUGUCUUCUAAAUAGAGACCAGUAUGAAAGGCAUCACGAGGGCUAAACUGUCUCCUCCCCCUAAUCAGUGAACCUAAUCCCCCCGUGAAGAAGCGGGGAUUUUUUUAUAAGACGAGAAGACCCUAUGGAGCUUAAAACAUCACACACCUGCUGCUAUUUUUUAUUUACCCAGGUAUUUCCCCCCCCCCGGCAGGCUGAUUAAGUGUUUUUGGUUGGGGUGACCGUGGAGAAAAAUUUAUCCUCCACAAUGAAAGGAAUUACUCCUAAACAGCAAGCUACAACUUUAUGUAUCAGCAAACUGACAUCCAUUGACCCAAUAUAUUGAUUAACGAACCAAGUUACCCUAGGGAUAACAGCGCAAUCCACUUUGAGAGCCCCUAUCGACAAGUGGGCUUACGACCUCGAUGUUGGAUCGGGGUAUCCUAGUGG